ACUUAAAUAGCUUAUAUGAGUAGAGCGUAAUAUUGAAGAUAUUAAGGAAAUUAAUAAAUUUUUAAGUA
rnacentral:tRNA from 1 species